ACGGAAACCCAAUCACGAGGGGAAAAAGGACACCCAUUAAUGGAGGAAAUAGCCCUAUAUUAUAUUCUCUUACGAGAUUUGGAGGACAAAGAAUAGCACGCUUCUCUUGCCUCUAGGAAGAAUAGAAGGAACCUAUUCUCUUACACAAUCAGCUGUGCACAAAGAUGUGCCUACUUAUAUUGAGAGUGACCUCGGAGAGAGACCCUCUUCA
rnacentral:lncRNA from 1 species